UGCAGUCGAGCGGAUGACAGGGAGCUUGCUCCUUGAUUCAGCGGCGGACGGGUGAGUAAUGCCUAGGAAUCUGCCUGGUAGUGGGGGACAACGUUUCGAAAGGAACGCUAAUACCGCAUACGUCCUACGGGAGAAAGCAGGGGACCUUCGGGCCUUGCGCUAUCAGAUGAGCCUAGGUCGGAUUAGCUAGUUGGUGGGGUAAUGGCUCACCAAGGCGACGAUCCGUAACUGGUCUGAGAGGAUGAUCAGUCACACUGGAACUGAGACACGGUCCAGACUCCUACGGGAGGCAGCAGUGGGGAAUAUUGGACAAUGGGCGAAAGCCUGAUCCAGCCAUGCCGCGUGUGUGAAGAAGGUCUUCGGAUUGUAAAGCACUUUAAGUUGGGAGGAAGGGCAGUAAGUUAAUACCUUGCUGUUUUGACGUUACCGACAGAAUAAGCACCGGCUAACUCUGUGC
rnacentral:rRNA from 1 species